rnacentral:rRNA from 1 species
CCUACGGGGGGCUGCAGUGAGGAAUAUUGGUCAAUGGGCGCAAGCCUGAACCAGCCAUGCCGCGUGCAGGAAGACGGUCCUAUGGAUUGUAAACUGCUUUUAUACGGGAAGAAACACUGCUACGUGUAGCAGCUUGACGGUACCGUAAGAAUAAGCAUCGGCUAACUCCGUGCCAGCAGCCGCGGUAAUACGGAGGAUGCGAGCGUUAUCCGGAAUCAUUGGGUUUAAAGGGUCCGUAGGCGGCCUUAUAAGUCAGUGGUGAAAUCUCCUAGCUC